rnacentral:sRNA from 1 species
AGGCAUGGUGGUGCAUGCCUGUAACCCCAGCAGCUCGGGAGGCUGAGUCAGGAGGAUCUCAAGUUCAAAGACAGCCUCUGCAACAGUGAGGCACUUAGCAAUUCAGUGAGACCCUGUCUCUA